AACAUUUACAGUCAGUUGGAGGUGGGGGUGCCGACGUCAUCCUUCCGGUCACGUGUUAUACAUGAGUGGCAGCGCUGGUGUCCAACAGAAAUGUCGCUAUUUCUCUUUGAAAAUAAAUUUCGAUUUUUAAAAGAAACAUUCGCUGUAUAAUUUUAAUUUUCGUUUUACAAUCAUCAGCCGCGUUAUAUUGUAGUUUAAUCUACCAUACCGCUGUUAUAUUGCAUGACAAUGGUUAUAGCUAAUUGACCAAAUGGGAUGGCCUUCUAGCUCUACUACUGGCUGAAAUGAAUCAGACUGACCACGGCAAAGGGUGCAGGUAACUUGGGGAGAUACAGCAACAUCGCAAUAUCCCCCGCGACAACACCCAAGGAAUCACCAAGCCCGCCACCCAACGCAACGCGCGCAGGGGCGGUGCGAAACGCAUCUCCAGCCCCAUCCGCGACGAGACGCGCGGCGCCCCCAAGGCGCCCCUGGAGAGUGUGACGCGUGCUAAUGCUCUAAGAACAUAGGUGAGUAUCCCUGGGUCAGAGGGAAAGAGAGGAAGAGGUUUCAAGUUAAGAAAGGUGGGCAAUUGUGAAAAACAGUGAAAAGGGAGCGGAAGAGAAGAAAGAAAAAAUAAAAAUAAAAUAAAAAUAUAAAUAAAAAUGAAUGAGGUGAAUUAAAAAAAAAAGAAAAUAAAUACUAAUAAUAAUAAAAUAAUAAAAAUAAAAAAAUAACAAAAUUGAACAAAUAAAUCUAGGAGAUAAGUAAAAUAAAAAAAAAUAAAAGAAAAUAAUAAUAUUAAUAAAACAAAAAAUAAUAAUUAAAAUUAAAAAAUAAAAUAUUUUAAUAAUAAUAUUAAGAAUAAAAAUAAAAUAAAGAAUUAAAAGAAAGAAAAAAGAUUUAGAAGAGGACAGGAUAGAAAAAAAAAAGUGAUGAAGAGAAGAAAACACAGCGCCUGGGGAUGUUGGUGUAGAACAAGCACAAAAAAAAAAAGGACCUUAUCAAAGGAGCCAGAACAUUUUUUUCUUUUGAGGAGAAAGUAAUUUCAGAGUACAAAAUCUGGAAGUACUAAAUCGCAUCUUUUGCCAACCAAUGAAAAUGAGCGGCCGUCAAAUCACAAAACCCCGGUUGUGACGUCGCGCGAUUAAUCGACCAAUCAGCGUGCGGCGUCCAAUUUCAACCGCGGCCCUCUAACCCUUGGGUGAUUAGAGACGGCGCUUGGUGAAAUCCCGUCCACAAGCCAGUUGGCAAAUUAAAAGUUUGACAUCGCAUACAAAAUUAGUGAUACACGCAUAUGCAGGUAAAACACUGAUGUAAAGUUUAGGUGGAAUUAGAGUCGGGAACCUCCUCUGAUUCCACCUCUCGGAUCCGCGGUCUCAGCCUGUCGCAAGCCAGGAGAAAAUCGAUACAGGCUCGCCAGGUUAAACAACUGUGGGUGAAGUCGCGGAGCGCCCUCGGCGUGUAACCGAGUUCCCUCCCCGCUAUAAAAAAUAGAGAGUUCUGAGGGAGCCCAGACUGUCACACUCGAGCAUGAUAUGUUCCAGAGUUUCUUCCUCUCCAGAGUCACAGAAAGGGCAGAUAGGAUCAUCAAUAUGUCCAAGUCUGUGAGCAAAGCUGUCUGUCCAUGUGUGUCCAGUCAGCAGGCCAAUCACGGCGUGGACACUAGGAACGAUGUACGCAUGUUUUUUGUCCAAGAGACUCAUGGGAGAGAGGCCAAAGCGGGUGAAGAUUGUGCGCUCGGCGGAGCUGAACCUGGCCUGCCAAGCUGCCCACGCCCGCUUGUAGAUUGUCGAUUUAAGUUUCGACAGCGGUGCGAGGCGAUAGCAGCUCGGGAGAUCAGAUUCCGCCCCGCGUUUCGCGAGCACAUCAGCUACCUCAUUACCAAAAAUCCCUCUGUGGCCUUUGAUCCAUUGUAUGGUACAUCUGUUCCCAUUGCGGUUCAGUUGUGAAAUCAGCAACAAGGCUCUGUUGACCAGGAGGUUGCCAGUUCUGGAGUUUAGAACGGAUUUCACAACUGAGAGGUUAUCCAGGAGAAUUUCAAUGGUGUAAUUGUCGGGAAGCUUUGAGGCGUCCUCAAGUGCUUUAAGCAAGCCAAGUGCCUCCGCUUGGAAGACAGAACAGUACGAGGACAGGACAAAGCUUUCACGCAGUUCAUUCAUGGAGCCAUUCGCACACACUCUAAAUAGGCCUGUGCCAACUCCAGUUUUCGUCUUGGAACCAUCUGUGUAGUAGGUGACGUCAGCCGAAAGAUCAGGAAUAUUAAUGGGAGCGGAGUAAUAGGGAGGAUAGGGAAGUGGGUGAGGGCAGGGGGGAGGCUCGACUGGAAAAUCAGCGUCAACAAAACUGUGCUUUUUAAAAUACAAUUCCGCCUUGGCGCCGACAUCCAGAUCGAGAGGGAGAACACGUGAAAGAGAGAUGAGAGAGCUAUUUGCAGUUGUUUUAAACGCGCGGCAUGUCCUGAUGAGGAACGGGCGCUGCGCGCUUAAGAGAGUGUUUAAGGAGCGUUGUUUAAGAUUAGAAAACCACACAGGAGAAGCGUAAGAGAUGGCUGGGACCACGACCUGGAGAUAGAGCAUCCUCAGGGCACGGAAACCAAAGCCAAAAUUGGAGUUGGCGGCUGCUGUCAAACGCGGGAGAAAUCCGCGGACUCUGGUGCAAACCUCAACCACAUGCUGGUGGAAGGUGAGACGCUGAUCAAACCUUACGCCCAGCACUUUGAUUGAGUCGCUCCAUUGAAUGGGUUGACCAUUAAUGGUUAGAUCGCAGCUAGGCUUUAGUAGUCUGCCAGUACGUCUUAGAAGGAGCAUGGCCUGACACUUCCUCACGCUGAGUUCCAGUUUAUGCAGGCCACACCACCUCGUGAUCUCGUUAAUGGCAAGUUGCGCCGCUCCAAGUUGAUUAGUAACUUGGCCCGACACCACCAUAACAAGAUCGUCGGCGUAGGCCUGCGGGUGUACACAUUUUUUAAAGUUGAGCGUGAGGAGCUCGUCAAAGACAAGGUUCCAAAGAAACGGCCCAAGAACUGAGCCCUGCGGGCAGCCUUUGGAAACCUGCCUCGUGACCGUGCAACCAUUCAUAGACAGUCUGACAACACGGUUAUUGAGGAAGAAGCGAAUCAGGACAAACAGGUUUUUUGGACAAUCAUUCAUACACAGAGCUCGCAAUAUGCUGGAGUGUAGCACAUUGUCAAAAGCGCCUUUCACAUCAAAGGAAAGAAGAAUAGAAGAUUUUCUAUGCUGAAGCGACCGGGAGAGAUUAUUUUUUAAAUUUAGAAGUGCGGCGACAGUAGAUCUGCAGGGCCUGAAACCGAACUGGUUUGGUUGGGCUUUACACAUUCUCUCAGCUCGCCACGAGAGCCUGGCCAGGAUUAGACGCUCUAGAAUUUUACCUAAGCCAGGCAGCAUCGUGAUGGGCCGAUGAGACGCGAGAAAGUCCUCACCACCUUUUUUGGGAAUGAGUAUGACAUCACCCAGUUUCCAAGGAGUUGGAAAAUGUCCAGUUUCAAAGCACCUAUUAAAGAUCUUUAAAAAAAACGUCGGGAGUUUUUUAAUUAAUUUAACAAUGAGAAGAGGUGGCAUACCAUCACUGCCAGGAGCAGAAGUUAGGCUAACCUUAUCCGCAGCCAGUAGCAGUUCUAUUUCUGAGAACGGUGGGUCGUUAUCAGAGGUGGACUGCACGGCUUUAUGUAAGUUAACAUGCUCUACUGUUAUAUCGGGCGGGACACGGCCGAAGUAAUGUUUUAAUACGUGUUCUAGAGUGUCCCGCGGACUGUCAGUGAGAUCAUCGCCAACCAGGAGAGAGGCUUCCUCUUAGUGGAGCCUUUAAUAAAUUUAUAAACGCCGCCCCAGGGGCUAACCUCACAAAGCGAACAGAUCCUUCUCCAUUCAGCAGACUUCGCGUGUCUGAUAGAGGUGCGAAAUCUAUUAUAUAAUUUCUUAUAAAAUAUCUUUAACACGCUUCUAACAGGCCCACGAGCUUUUCUCCAGGCCCGUUCAGCUUUUUGAGUAACCUUUUGGAGCGGAUUUAGUUCAGGUUUCCACCAAGUGGGUUUCUUAAAAAAAAAAUUAUUGGCGGCAGGUUUAGAGGGAAUGGUUUGUAGACACGAGUGAAACACCUCGUCUUUUAGUAAAUUAAUUACUUCAUCAACUUGAGUUGUGUCACUCGCGUCCAGUAAGGAGGAAAUUCUAAAAAUUUUUUUUUUAAAGCUAGAAAAAAAAUUCCUAAUCAGCGCGACCAAAGCUGAAGUGUACUUCUCUAAAGUUGUUUAUGAUGCUUGACUCUUCGAAUGGGUAUUUUAGAUGAACUAUGGACGUAAGCUUUUAGGACAGAAGAAUUACAUAUAAUUAUAAAUAUAUAAUAAGCUUCGAGCAAUCGCUCUUCCGCAAAUAUCAAUUUGUGUCUUUUAUUCGAACAAUUAUAUUUCGAUGCACUAGCGCGCCAUCUGUUAUCAAAUUACAAAACUAUUUUGGACGCGUAAUAUUCUUUUAAAAAUAAAACAAUUUCUAAUGCCCUUACUUGCGAUUAUUAUCAUUAUAUUACUUUAUUUAUUUAUUUUAGAUUAUAAUUUUAUUAUUAUAUAUAUUUAUUUAUUUCUCUCUCAAAGAUCAUAGUCUUUGACGAGUCUAAUAUUUGUUUUUAACUCGUGCUUUAGAUGUUGUACUAAAUUCGAAAAAUCACGUGAGAACGCCCUUGCAACCUCAGAACAAUUUUUAACGCCUUGCCAAAUGUUUUAUUUUUAUUUACUUCUCCUGACGAAGACAAAAUAUUUUUGUCGAAACGUUGAGAAAAAAAAAAAAAACACUAACUGGCCGAAGUGUCUAUUUUUCACAGAAAUAUGAAUGCCGGUCAGGCAACCCCUAUCUUAACGAUAUCUCCAGAUUGCCUUUCAGGCACAUAACCCCAGUUUCAUUUUAGAUAUGUUCAUUGAUUUCAUUAUUUUUAGUGAUAGUUUUUAUUUGAUGUGUUUGUUUUGUGUGUGUGGAAUUUUAACCAGAUUAUAAUUGUAGUUUCAUAAAAAUGUAUAUAUGUGCGUUUGUGUGUGAAUACUUGUUUAUAUUAUGCCGUUUUUUCAUUUUUAUUUUGUACAUAUAUUACAGUGUUGUCCGUCUAAAAGUAUUUCAAGAUCAUUGAUUUACUAUUCUUCUUUUUUUUCCAACACUGUCUAGUUUAGAAGUGUUAGAAAGGUUCUUAUGUGGGUUUCCUAAAUAACUUUAUUAUAUUCAGUAUUUCUCUUUUUAGAGAACUAUAUAUACUUACAUUUAAGCAUGAAUUAGUAUUUAAGCAUAUUAAAUUAGUAAAAUCGCUGAGAGGGUUUACAACUGAUGAGCCAAGCCCUCCAAAUGUUGUCUAUUUCAAUAGGGUCUACUGCAAUAUGGUACCUAUGGCCCUUCGAGGGACUUUGACACCCGAGGACUUAUGAAACAGUUCACUAAUGCCUUUCCUAAAUAUCGGGAAUGGGUUUCAGAGGUAAUUCUCAUUUCUGAAACUGCCAGAAGCCAAGUUGCCGCGACAUUUCAAAACCGAUCCCCUCUUUUCUGAAACAAUGGAAGACGUGGGAUUCUUUUGGGGAUAAAUGCACAGGUUUCUGGACAAAACUCUUCCCCCUCUCUACAAAACCUUUGUGCUGUGCCAAGCACAGCGUGAAUGUUUCUUACACUCCUACUGAAGUAUCAGUCCAGAGCAUUGUCGAAGAUUCUACCAUCAGGUGAUACCGAGAUACGGGAAACAGAAAGGGAAAACAUUCAAAGAGGAGAGUCAAAGAGGCUUCGCAGACAAAGAUAAUAGAAAUCCAGUGUUAUAUAUACUUAUCCCCCGAUUUACACGGUACUUGUUUUACACGUUUUCGCUUUUCCACGGUUUUCCAAAUAAGUUUUUU